UACGUAGGGGGCAAGCGUUGUCCGGAUUUAUUGGGCGUAAAGAGCGUGUAGGCGGUUUGGUAGGUCCGCUGUGAAAACUCGAGCUCAACCUCGAGACGCCGGUGGAAACCAUCAGACUAGAGUCCGGAAGGAGGAGAGUGGUAAUUCCGUGGUGUAGCGGUGAAAUGCGCAGAUAUCAGGAAGAACACCCGUGGCGAAGGCGGCUCUCUGGGACGGUACUGACGCUGAGACGCGAAAGCGUGGGGAGCGAACAGG
rnacentral:rRNA from 1 species